rnacentral:lncRNA from 1 species
CCGCACGCCGCAUACUACUCGGCGCUUACUGCUUAGUACUGGUGUGGCAGCUGAGGAGUUGGUAACGAGUGUCGUUUUUCUACAAUUCUGGUCCUCCGUCUUGAUGGACAGCGUCUGUAGGUGGAGCGAGGCUGGAGCUGUGCAACCAGGAUACGGAAACUUCAAGAAAGUAGUACUCACUCUUGCCACGCCAUCGUCAAGACGAUGCUCGAUGAUCUUGUCUCGCCGCCACCGCCGCCGAAGCUGACGCAGACACCAAGAGUCUACGGAUAAUGGCAGUGUUGGCUGUCUACUGUUGCUUAGAUGAGAUCAACUAUAGUUCACCACCUCAGCUGCUCCCAGACCACCACUGCCGCCGCCAAGAUGACUGGUAUCGUUUCCUGUUCGGUUAUUUUCUUUACUUUUUUGUCUGGUUUUCGUCUGUUUUUUUACUGAAUUGUAUAGAACGAGCGGCAGUGUUCUAAAGUGCCACAAUGCUUGCAACAUGGUGUACAGUGCAUGCGCACCGCUACUUUGCCAUCAAACUGGGUGAUAGUCAUAAUAUUCACUUUGUUUAUAUUCAUCUGUUUUUGCAAAGUUGUUGCAAUUGAACCAUUCGCUUGCGUUAUUUCAUGGUCGCGGUAUACAUAUAUAUUGCGGAGCAGGACUACGUCCUAUAAAAUGUGUGUGUGUGUGUGUGUGUGUGUGUGUUAAACAUGUAUUCUUGCAGAGAAGUGAGAUUGAAUAAGGCUAAUGUCAGGGAAGUGGAAUGGCGCAGAAGGCGUCGCCAAGCAGACCGCCGCGGCGAGACACAAACCUAAGUGGUACUCCUCAACGCCCCAUUGAUAAGAUAACAUUCAGGGAACUCUUGGACGGGACUGUCUGCUGGUGAGCUGACUGGGCUGACAGUGUAGCAGUGCACACGUGGCUUCAUAACAGCAAGAAGCACUACACCCACCUUGAUGUAGGUCUCGUACAUCUCCAUGAAGAAAUUCUUGAUGUCAUUGUCAAUUUUCACGUCGUGGGAGGCAGACGAGUCUUGUCCUUUCAGCCGUCACAAACAGACACGUACCUUAUCAAGGAAAACAAAGAGAUCUCCAUUCUCAAAUAUUCCAAACCUCAGCACCAGCUUUGGCAGCUUUCCUCUUUCUUCACUGACCAUCCUAAAGCUGGCUCAUGUGCUGGGAGAUUAGGUGCCAUCUCCUGCCUCGCUCCACCUUCCAUGGAGGGAUUACAGACACUGCCUCGCACGUUUGCUCUGUCCUGCCAACGUCUGCUGCCAUCCAGGGAGGGAUGAAAGACUGCUUCCCACCUCAUCUCUCAUGCCAAUGCCUGCUGUCAUCCAGGGAGGGAGGAGAGACUGCUUCCCACCUCACUCUCAUGCCAAUGCCUGCUGUCAUCCAGGGAGGGAGGAGACUCUGCUUCUCACCUCCACACUCAUCCCAAUGCCUGCUGUCAUCCAAAGAGGACAGAUUGCUUCCCACCUCUCUCAUGCCAGUGCCUGUUGACAUCCAGGGAGGACAGAUUGCUUCCCACCUCCUCUCCUGCCAACACCUGCUGACAUUCAGGGAGGUGAGACGGCCUUCCACCUCUUCUCUUCUACUAAUGCCUGCUGAUAUCCAGGGAGGAGAGAUGGCCUCCCACCUCCUCUCUCCUGCCAACGCCUGCUGCCAUCCAGGUUUUACUAAAUAACGAGGGAUACUAUUCUUUUUUUAUUUGAAUAAACCAUCCAUUCAGAAA